rnacentral:rRNA from 1 species
AACGCGAAGAACCUUACCAAAUCUUGACAUCCCGAUGACAGACUGUGUAAAGCAGUUUCUCUUCGGAGCAUCGGUGACAGGUGGUGCAUGGUUGUCGUCAGCUCGUGUCGUGAGAUGUUCGGUUAAGUCCGCUAACGAGCGCAACCCUUGUCCUUAGUUGCUAACAUUAAGUUGAGAACCCUAAGGAGACUGCCGAUAAUAAAUCGGAGGAAGGUGGGGAUGACGUCAAAUCAUCAUGCCCCUUACGUCUAGGGCUACAGGCGUGCUACAAUGGCAGGUAUAAUAAGAAGCAAUACCGUGAGGUGGAGCAAAUCUCCAAAGCCUGUCCCAGUCCGGAUUGGAGUCUGCAACUCGACUCCAUGAAGUUGGAAUCGCUAGUAAUCCCGAAUCAGAAUGUCGGGGUGAAUACGUUCCCGGGUCUUGUACACACGC